GUGUCAGCAGCCGCGGUAAUACGUAGGGGGCGAGCGUUAUCCGAAUUUACUGGGCGUAAAGCGCGUGUAGGCGGCUUUUUAAGUGAGGUGUGAAAUCCUGUGGCUCAACCACAGAACUGCACUUCAAACUGGGGAGCUUGAAAUUGGGAGAGGAAAGUGGAAUUCCUGGUGUAGCGGUGAAAUGCGUAGAUAUCAGGAGGAACACCCGUGGCGAAGGCGGCUUUCUGGCCCAACAUUGACGCUGAGACGCGAAAGCCAGGGGAGCGAACGGGAUUAGAUACCCCGGUAGUCCUGGCCGUAAACGAUGGAUACUAGGUGUAAGUGGUAUCGACUCCACUUGUGCCGGAGCUAACGCAUUAAGUAUCCCGCCUGGGGAGUACGGCCGCAAGGUUGAAACUCAAAGAAAUUGACGG
rnacentral:rRNA from 1 species